GGGAAUUUUCCGCAAUGGGCGAAAGCCUGACGGAGCAAUGCCGCGUGGAGGUAGAAGGCCUACGGGUCGUCAACUUCUUUUCUCGGAGAAGAAACAAUGACGGUAUCUGAGGAAUAAGCAUCGGCUAACUCUGUGCCAG
rnacentral:rRNA from 1 species